rnacentral:rRNA from 1 species
CCUACGGGUGGCAGCAGUGAGGAAUAUUGGUCAAUGGACGAGAGUCUGAACCAGCCAAGUAGCGUGAAGGAUGACUGCCCUAUAGGUUGUAAACUUCUUUUAUAAAGUAAUAAAACGCGGCACAUGUGCCUUUUUGCAUGUCCUUUCCGCAUAAGGAUCGGCUAACUCCGUGCCAGCAGCCGCGGUAAUCCCGAGGAUCCGAGCGUUAUCCGGAGUUAUUGGGUUUAAAUGGAGCGUAGAUGUGUUUUUAAGUCAGUUGUGAAAGUUUGCGGCUCAACCGUAAAAUUGCAAGUGAUACUGGCAGUCUUGAGUACAGUUGAGGUAGGCGGAAUUCGUGGUGUAGCGGUGAAAUGCUUAGAUAUCACGAAGAACCCUGAUUGCGAAGGCAGCUUACUAAACUGUGACUGACAUUGAUGCUCGAAAGUGUGGGUAUCAAACAGGAUUAGAUACCCGUGUAGUC